rnacentral:rRNA from 1 species
GGAGACAGGUGCUGCAUGGCUGUCGUCAGCUCGUGUCGUGAGAUGUUGGGUUAAGUCCGCAACGAGCGCAACCCUUGCCUUUAGUUGCCAGCAGUUCGGCUGGGCACUCUAAAGGGACUGCCGGUGUUAAACCGGAGGAAGGUGGGGAUGACGUCAAGUCCUCAUGGCCUUUAUGACCAGGGCUACACACGUACUACAAUGGCCGAUACAAAGGGCAGCGACACUGCGAGGUGAAGCCAAUCCCGUAAAAUCGGUCUCAGUCCGGAUUGGAGUCUGCAACUCGACUCCAUGAAGUUGGAAUCGCUAGUAAUCGUGGAUCAGCAUGCCACGGUGAAUACGUUCCCGGGCCUU